rnacentral:rRNA from 1 species
GACGAACGCUGGCGGCGUGCUUAACACAUGCAAGUCGAACGGAAAGGCCCUGCUUUUGUGGGGUGCUCGAGUGGCGAACGGGUGAGUAACACGUGAGUAACCUGCCCUUGACUUUGGGAUAACUUCAGGAAACUGGGGCUAAUACCGGAUAGGAGCUCCUGCUGCAUGGUGGGGGUUGGAAAGUUUCGGCGGUUGGGGAUGGACUCGCGGCUUAUCAGCUUGUUGGUGGGGUAGUGGCUUACCAAGGCUUUGACGGGUAGCCGGCCUGAGAGGGUGACCGGCCACAUUGGGACUGGAAUACGGCCCAGCCUCCUACGGGAGGCAGCAGUGGGGAAUAUUGCACAAUGGGCGGAAGCCUGAUGCAGCAACGCCGCGUGCGGGAUGACGGCCUUCGGGUUGUAAACCGCUUUCGCCUGUGACGAAACGUGAGUGACGGUAAUGGGUAAAGAAGCACCGGCUAACUACGUG